rnacentral:rRNA from 1 species
CCUGGUUGAUUCUGCCAGUAGUCAUAUGCUUGUCUCAAAGAUUAAGCCAUGCAUGUCUAAGUAUAAGCAAUUAUACCGUGAAACUGCGAAUGGCUCAUUAAAUCAGUUAUCGUUUAUUUGAUAGUACCUUACUACUUGGAUAACCGUGGUAAUUCUAGAGCUAAUACAUGCUGAAAACCCCGACUUCGGGAGGGGUGUAUUUAUUAGAUAAAAAACCAAUGCCCUUCGGGGCUCUUUGGUGAUUCAUGAUAACUUUUCAGAUCGCAUGGCCUUGCGCCGGCGACGGUUCAUUCAAAUUUCUGCCCUAUCAACUUUCGAUGGUAAGGUAUUGGCUUACCAUGGUUUCAACGGGUAACGGGGAAUUAGGGUUCGAUUCCGGAGAGGGAGCCUGAGAAACGGCUACCACAUCCAAGGAAGGCAGCAGGCGCGCAAAUUACCCAAUCCCGACACGGGGAGGUAGUGACAAUAAAUACUGAUACAGGGCUCUUUUGGGUCUUGUAAUUGGAAUGAGUACAAUUUAAACCUCUUAACGAGGAACAAUUGGAGGGCAAGUCUGGUGCCAGCAGCCGCGGUAAUUCCAGCUCCAAUAGCGUAUAUUAAAGUUGUUGCAGUUAAAAAGCUCGUAGUUGAACCUUGGGCCUGGCUGGCAGGUCCGCCUCACCGCGUGUACUUGUCCGGCCGGGCCUUUCCUUCUGGAGAACCUCAUGCCCUUCACUGGGUGUGCUGGGGAACCAGGACUUUUACUUUGAAAAAAUUAGAGUGUUCAAAGCAGGCCUUUGCUCGAAUACGUUAGCAUGGAAUAAUAGAAUAGGACGUGCGGUCCUAUUUUGUUGGUUUCUAGGACCGCCGUAAUGAUUAAUAGGGACAGUCGGGGGCAUCAGUAUUCAAUUGUCAGAGGUGAAAUUCUUGGAUUUAUUGAAGACUAACUACUGCGAAAGCAUUUGCCAAGGAUGUUUUCAUUAAUCAGUGAACGAAAGUUAGGGGAUCGAAGACGAUCAGAUACCGUCGUAGUCUUAACCGUAAACUAUGCCGACUAGGGAUCGGGCGAUGUUUCUAUCUUGACUCGCUCGGCACCUUACGAGAAAUCAAAGUUUUUGGGUUCUGGGGGGAGUAUGGUCGCAAGGCUGAAACU